rnacentral:rRNA from 1 species
UGGGGAAUAUUGGACAAUGGGGGCAACCCUGAUCCAGCAAUGCCGCGUGUGUGAAGAAGGCCUGAGGGUUGUAAAGCACUUUCAGUGGGGAGGAGGAUGCUUUGGUUAAGAGCUGGAGUAUUGGACGUUACCCACAGAAGAAGCACCGGCUAACUCCGUGCCAGCAGCCGCGGUAAUACGGAGGGUGCGAGCGUUAAUCGGAAUUACUGGGCGUAAAGCGUGCGUAGGUGGUUAGUUAAGUUAUCUGUAAAAUCCCCGGGCUUAACCUGGGCAGGUCAGAUAAGACUGAUUAACUCGAGUAUGGGAGAGGGUAGUGGAAUUUCCGGUGUAGCGGUGAAAUGCGUAGAGAUCGGAAGGAACACCAGUGGCGAAGGCGGCUACCUGGCCUAAUACUGACACUGAGGCACGAAAGCGUGGGGAGCAAACAGGAUUAGAUACCCCCGUAGUCC